rnacentral:misc_RNA from 1 species
AUGCACCUUUUAACAUUUAUUCUUGUUUGGUUUUUCUGCAUAAAUGUUCAGUCUUUUACUCGUAAAAGAGCAACAUGCAAUACUACAGAGAUAAUGUGGAUUCCUGACAAAUCUGACUAUUUUGAAGAGCAAGUUGAACUGCAACUUACUUCCAGAACAGGCAUGAAUCCUGAUUCAAUGGCGAAGAUUGUACAGGAAGAGUGCAAAUUCGAGAAAAACGGUUGUUUCUUCGGUCAAACGAAAAAAGAGAUUUGCAAUAGUCAAAGGAGCGCAUUUUCUAUAUAAAUUCGUGAAAGUGAUCAGUUUUGUGCAGCUGCUCCGAGACCUGUACAGGGGCAGAGGGCUAAUUAAGCUUUACUUCGAACUUGAGAAAAUGAAUAGAGACCUAGAAGAAGAAUAUUUUCGAACGAGUAUUCAAAUUCUGAUGAGUGGUGAGAAAAUUCCGAAGUCAAUUCUCAAUCACCCGAAAGUUUUAUUUGUGAUAAAAAAAAGAAUUCCAAUCGAAAACCAAUACCUCCUAUCACAUGUUUCUGCGGCAGAUGCAACGUGUUACCAACGUAAAAAGCGUUCUAGAGUCGUCAUCGUGUUGAACCUUAAAAUUCCAAAAGUUCAUCAGAACCGUGUGAAGAAAUGCGUUUCUUUCAAUAAUGGCUCACUUUAUCACGUUUCGGAGACGGAAUCGUUGCGAACACUGAGAGUAGAUAUCAAGAAAUGUUUUUUUGAGAACUUGACAUUUUGCCCUCAUGCAGCAGUUCGUGAAAUCAAUUGCACUGAUGAAAAUCUCAGAGCUUACAAGAUUUCAGUUGGGAGGAAAGCCUGA